rnacentral:rRNA from 1 species
GAUGAACGCUGGCGGCGUGCCUAAUACAUGCAAGUCGAGCGAAUGGAUUAAGAGCUUGCUCUUAUGAAGUUAGCGGCGGACGGGUGAGUAACACGUGGGUAACCUGCCCAUAAGACUGGGAUAACCCCGGGAAACCGGGGCUAAUACCGGAUAACAUUUUGAACCGCAUGGUUCGAAAUUGAAAGGCGGCUUCGGCUGUCACUUAUGGAUGGACCGGCGUCGCAUUAGCUAGUUGGUGAGGUAACGGCUCACCAAGGCAACGAUGCGUAGCCGGCCUGAGAGGGUGAUCGGCCGCACUGGGACUGAGACACGGCCCAGACUCCUACGGGAGGCAGCAGUAGGGAAUCUUCCGCAAUGGACGAAAGUCUGACGGAGCAACGCCGCGUGAGUGAUGAAGGCUUUCGGGUCGUAAAACUCUGUUGUUAGGGAAGAACAAGUGCUAGUUGAAUAAGCUGGCACCUUGACGGUACCUAACCAGAAAGCCACGGCUAACUACGUGCCAGCCGCCGCAGUAA